rnacentral:lncRNA from 1 species
GGGUCUGAGCUCGAACAUAGGCCACCAAGAACUGAUCGGGAGAGUACCCUUUAAACCGGUCGUCGUCACCAGGUAGUUUGAAGUGAUCGAAGAGGGUAAAAGGGAAGACCUCCGACGGGCUCUUGGGCCAACAGGUGGUCGGUGAUCCCCGAGAAGAGCUGGGACCGGAAGGAGGAGUGGCGGAACGGUCCAGACCGGGGACCACCAUCUC